UUUCCGUAGGUGAACCUGCGGAAGGAUCAUUAUUGUAUAACCGAGGUGCGAGGGCUGUCGCUGACCCGAAAGGUCGUGCACGCCCGAGUGCCCUCACACACAUCCAUCUCACCCCUAUGUGCACCACCGCGUGGGUACCCCUUUGGCUUGUUCGGAGGGGGGCUUACGUUUUCACACAAACUUUGUAUGCAGAGUAGAAUGUAUUUUUUGUUUUUGCGAUCACGCAAUCAAUACAACUUUCAACAACGGAUCUCUUGGCUCUC
rnacentral:misc_RNA from 1 species